GUGGAUCCUGAGUACGGCGGAACACGUGAAAUUCCGUCGGAAUCCGGGAGGACCAUCUCCCAAGGCUAAAUACUCCCUAGUGACCGAUAGUGAACCAGUACCGUGAGGGAAAGGUGAAAAGCACCCCGGAAGGGGAGUGAAACAGUUCCUGAAACCGUGUGCCUACAAGUAGUUAGAGCCCGUUAAUGGGUGAUAGCGUGCCUUUUGUAGAAUGAACCGGCGAGUUACGAUUUGUUGCAAGGUUAAGCGGAAAAAGCGGAGCCGUAGCGAAAGCGAGUCUGAAUAGGGCGCAUAAGUAACAGGUCGUAGACCCGAAACCAGGUGAUCUACCCAUGUCCAGGAUGAAGGUAAGGUAAUACUUACUGGAGGUCCGAACCCACGCACGUUGAAAAGUGCGGGGAUGAGGUGUGGGUAGCGGAGAAAUUCCAAUCGAACUUGGAGAUAGCUGGUUCUCUCCGAAAUAGCUUUAGGGCUAGCCUCGAGGUAAAGAGUCAUGGAGGUAGAGCACUGUUUGGACUAGGGGCCCUUCUCGGGUUACCGAAUUCAGAUAAACUCCGAAUGCCAUGUACUUAUACUCGGGAGUCAGACUGCGAGUGAUAAGAUCCGUAGUCGAAAGGGAAACAGCCCAGACCACCAGUUAAGGUCCCCAAAUAUAUGUUAAGUGGAAAAGGAUGUGGGGUUGCUUAGACAACCAGGAUGUUGGCUUAGAAGCAGCCACCAUUGAAAGAGUGCGUAAUAGCUCACUGGUCGAGUGACCCCGCGCCGAAAAUGUACCGGGGCUAAACAUAUUACCGAAACUGUGGAUGAACCUCUUUAGAGGUUCGUGGUAGGAGAGCGUUCUAAGGGCGGUGAAGUCAGACCGGAAGGACUGGUGGAGCGCUUAGAAGUGAGAAUGCCGGUAUGAGUAGCGAAAGAAGGGUGAGAAUCCCUUCCACCGAAUAUCUA
rnacentral:rRNA from 1 species